AAACAAUUUCUCUGUAAAUUUUCCGAUAUCAAUAAAAUGUUUUCCUUCUAAAUUUCUCUUGUUCUUCUCUUUGAAAGGCAUGGAAAGGCUGAUCCUAAGUUAGUAUAGGGUUAGGAAAUAUUGGGCAAGUUGAGCUUGUUAUGAGUACAAUAGUUUUGCGAAGCUUUGACAGUAUGUCUGUAAUAGUGCGAAUGUUUUUCCAAGUUGAGUAGCUUGGCUAGGAAGCCAGCCCAUUUUGUAGGAAAAACUUUCAUAUCUACGAUCUUUCAAACUGUCCGACCAACUUGACAAGCCAUCCUUCGGGUUGUUAAAGUCAGGUUUGUGGCAAGCCGUCCUUCGGAAUGUUGAAGCCCAGUCCUACUUUGUAAGAAAACUAUUGUGCUUGUAGUUUGGCUGUCUUGCUUGGUGUUUCCCCGCCCUCUACAUACCCGUGGUAUCAGAGCCAGUCCAUCUCUUUCGGAGAGAGGAGCAGUUUAGUAAAAAUAUGUCUGAGUCGUUACCAUCUGUGUCCAACCCUUGUAAGUCCUUAGCAAAAAUAAAUAUGUCUCCUACUCUGUAUAAAACCCUUUCUUGCAAAUAUGACUACCUUUAUGAAGUUGAUAUUUUACCUGAUGGACACAAAGUGUCUCCCACCGACCUACCCCUCAUAAACCCAUACUCUGAUUUUGCUAAAAAGACAUGUUCCCCGUGGUCACAAAUCCGUUCCCUGGUCCAACCAAAGCCCAAAGAAGCUAAAGAAUAUGUUGGUGCAUCAAAACUUGACCAACACCCUAUUCUAGCAACUCAAGAAGAACAAUUCAUCAUUCUGCAGAUUCCAGAUGAUUUUCCUAGACAGUGGAAACAUCGUGGUUUCAUCCAUGUCCAUUUUGGUGCUAUUUGAAUUGCAUUAACAUAUCAUGGAUGAAAGGUCCUGUUAUAUCCCGUAUUUUUUUACAUUCGGAUAUUUCAAGGUAAUCGCGAUAAGUUAAGGGCAAGGCUAUAUUUUGAUCUUGUUUAAUACACAAGUUGUUUAUGAAUAUUAUUGAUGUGGAAAUAUUAAGAAAGGCUAGGGGUAAAAAGGGAAAUUCAUAAGAAGGUUCAUGGUAAUAUUGUGGAAGGCUAGGGGCAAAAUGGGAAAUUCACAAAAUAUUCAAGAAGGUUCUUGAAGGAGCCAUGUUGGCCGUGUGGCAUAUGUCCACAAUUUUAUUAAAUGGGGCUAAUUAUAAAUAUAUAUAUAUAUAUAUAUGGACCAAAGCUUACAUAAUAAGACAAGUAGUCAUCUUUGUUUAUUUUAAGAAAGUUCAAGAAAAAGGGAGAAGGGGACAUGUAUCCACCUUGUGUUGGUAGAAUCUCUCUCUCUCUCUCUAUAUAUAUAUACAAUGGAUGACAAAAUAAGGCAUAUUUAUCUUCUAAAUCAAGAAGCUUGGAGAGAAAAGAAAAAAAAAGAAGAGAGAGGGGGUUCGGCCAUGGUUGGCCGAACUUGGAGCCAUGCAAAAUUGAUCCAAAAAAAAUAUUUUCUUCUAGCUUUUCUACCAAUUGGAAGGUCCUCUAUAACGUGGAGUAGUAGUUGGAGCAAGCAAACCAUUCAUUCUUGCAAGGCACAACUCUAGCCAAGUUGAAGAGCUAAGUGGAAAAGACUAGCAAGCUUGGAUAAAUAAGUGUAGCUAAUAGGACGUGGAACAGUUGGAUAUAGAUGAGUAGAGGGUAUUGCUAGAAGAUGAUCCAGCUGGAUUGGCGAGCUCCAUUUCCUUCCGGAGUGUUGCCGAGUCAGAGUAUCCAUGUUAUGGUAUCUUGAUUGAUGUUAAAGACUUUGCAGAUAGAGUCACGUGUAUAGAAUGUCAAUCUUGUAAGCGGCUCUGCAAGCCGACGUACCAUUAUGCACCAUGUUACAAAUUCCAUAUGAUUACAAAUAUUACUCGAUUUGAG